GCAUCUGUAGCUCAAUCGGAAAAAUAGCUGGAACAGGAAACCGGGAAGCGGCGAGACGUUCAUUGUGAUUGUCCAGGGCAUCGUCAUGAGAAAACGGAUCGCAAGCGGAAUGGGGACCUCUACAGCUCAAGAGCACCAGCUUUGGGAGUUGGAAGGUGCGGGUUCGAAUCCCGUCAGAUGCGCCA
rnacentral:tRNA from 1 species